GACGAACGCUGGCGGCGUGCUUAACACAUGCAAGUCGAACGGAAAGGCCCUGCUUUUGUGGGGUGCUCGAGUGGCGAACGGGUGAGUAACACGUGAGUAACCUGCCCUUGACUUUGGGAUAACUUCAGGAAACUGGGGCUAAUACCGGAUAGGAGCUCCUGCUGCAUGGUGGGGGUUGGAAAGUUUCGGCGGUUGGGGAUGGACUCGCGGCUUAUCAGCUUGUUGGUGGGGUAGUGGCUUACCAAGGCUUUGACGGGUAGCCGGCCUGAGAGGGUGACCGGCCACAUGGGGACUGAGAUACGGCCCAGACUCCUACGGGAGGCAGCAGUGGGGAAUAUUGCACAAUGGGCGGAAGCCUGAUGCAGCAAUGCCGCGUGCGGGAUGACGGCCUUCGGGUUGUAAACCGCUUUCGCCUGUGACGAAGCGUGAGUGACGGUAAUGGGUAAAGAAGCACCGGCUAACUACGU
rnacentral:rRNA from 1 species